UACGGAGGGUCCAAGCGUUAUCCGGAAUCAUUGGGUUUAAAGGGUCCGUAGGCGGUUUAGUAAGUCAGUGGUGAAAGCCCAUCGCUCAACGGUGGAACGGCCAUUGAUACUGCUAGACUUGAAUUAUUAGGAAGUAACUAGAAUAUGUAGUGUAGCGGUGAAAUGCUUAGAGAUUACAUGGAAUACCAAUUGCGAAGGCAGGUUACUACUAAUGGAUUGACGCUGAUGGACGAAAGCGUGGGGAGCGAACAGG
rnacentral:rRNA from 1 species